rnacentral:tRNA from 1 species
GGUCUACUGGCGCAAUGGUAGCGUAUCAGCCUUCUAAGCUGAGGGUUGCGGGUUCGAGCCCCGCGUGGACCU